CUGGAGAGUUUCAAGAUUUUAAAGAAAGAACCUCCGGAAGCAUUGCUAAUCGGCAAGCUUUAUAAGAGAUAGAUUGCACACUAGAUGCUGCUGCCAGUUGGUUAUUAAUUCAGCUAUAAAUGCCGUAUUGCAUGAACGAGAAAAAAUGAUAUAACACAGUAAUAAGAAUAGCUGAUUCAAUUAUAAAUAUCAUGUAUGAACAACUAAAAGCGGGCAAACAUGAUAACUAUGUUUACUUG
rnacentral:lncRNA from 1 species